rnacentral:lncRNA from 1 species
GUGGUUGAUCUAGUAGUUAAGGAUCAAGAUCUAUUCCUACCCGUGGAAGAACCUCAAGUUUUCAAUAAGCAAGGCAAGUGGACUUCUCCCUCUGCAUACUCUGUUUGAUCCCAAACAAUACAUUUAAUAAAGUUUAUUCCUUUAGAUAUAUAUGCAUAAUUUGACGGGUUACCUAUUUAGAUAACCUUUCCAACCUUAUUCCUUGAUCAAACCUGGGAAUUAUACUUUACCUUAGUAGCUAUGCUAUUGCUACAACUUAACUUUAUGCAGUCACUCCAGUUUGUGAUAUUAAUGUUCCAAAAUGGUAAGUUUACUUUAUAUUGUUAAUCCGAUGGUUAAACAAGAUCAUUGCAUAUUAAUUGGAACAUGGAGUGACCACCCGGGAAAACAGUGCUACCAUGAGGACUAUCAUGGCUCUGGUCUUGGCUAAAUAACUAGGGAAGUCUUAUGUUGGGUGCUGGUCGUGGUCGACAGGAACGGGGGCACCUGGCAAGCUCUUAUAGUUUCGGCUCAGGCAGAUUGGAUACGGGCAUAGUUCCCAAAGCUUUACCCUGUAGUCUGGACUAUAAGUUGGUUACGGUAGGUGUGCCUUAUGCAGUUUGACCAUUUCCAGCAUUUGCGUAAUGAGGACUCUAGGGAGAAGCCUCGUAGUGAGACCCUGGCCAUUCACCUCGGAAGUGAAUAAGGGUCUAGCUUACCCGGGCUAGAAGGGAAUCGCGACUCAUGGGUAAAGAUGCGCCACCUCUGCAAAGUGUAAAACUGAUAUAUCAGCCGUGCUCACGGUUAUGAGCAGCCUGGACUCCUCACAUGAUAAUUGAACUUGAAGAUGGAAAUAAAUCGAGAUCCGAUGAUCUGCCAACGGUUUGCUUAAGUGGUUUCACUUAAGUGUUUUUGAUAUACUCUUGUACCUUUGUUUAAUGGGAAUACUUGGGAUUCACACUUAUUAUUAAGACAGGUGUUGUUAAUAAAAUGUUGACCAACUAAAAUGCUUACUGCUCAACCUCAGCCUCACCUUGUUAGACUUGCAUUAGUUUUUCCCCCACUUGCUGAGCCCCGACCAUAAGUGAGCUCACCCUUCCUUAAUUUUGAUCAGAAGUUGCAGAUGAAGAUAUGAUGCUGAACUCCAUGGAUGCUAGUCUAGUGAUACCCCCGGUCAUCUUCCUGUGGAUGGAUGUCCUUGUUUCGCUGUACUUUGAUGAAUAAAGGUUAAGACAUUAUGU